CUCUCUCUCUCUCUCUCUCACUCUCACUCUCACUCACUCAUUGACACACACACACACACACACACACAGAAUUAGUCACCACCAAACCUCACCUAACCUCACCACUGUUGCUCACUAUGUGUCGCACAUCGCCACUACCACCGCCGCAAUACAAACAGUAAUCUACUCCCUCAAUAUCGACAUUGAUUCCAAUGCAAAUGACAACAAAGAUUUCAUUCUCAAUCAGGAUUUCUUUUGAGGAUAUCAGUUGAACCAGGUGGCUAUCUUGUUCGCACCGUUUGAAGAUUGAUGGUUGAUCCUAGAAAUUUCCUAUUCGGUGUGUCCUAUUGGAACGAAAUCAUCAGCCACUGCUCUCACUGUGGCCUAUUAAGAGAGGAAAUCAUCGGAGGUACAAAGCCUACACCAACUCCCCGCUUCAUCACCAUCGUCGUCUUGCUGCCGAAAUAAAGAUACAGGAAAGUUGAGUGGCCUCAAUGGCUUUGGCCUCAUGUGGUGCAAUGGUAAGAUGAUAGGUCUCCGACAAAAUCACAUCUUUCAAAUUCUAAAUCUUUCUACAGAAAAUGAAAUUUACUGGUCUCUUUAAGCUUAAAUAACUUAGUCCUACAACUGUCUAUUUAAUUGAAAUUUUUGAAGGUCUAUGGACCGAUUACCAUGGUAAUUUGUACCAUGCAAAAUGGUCAUCUAGUAUCGUAGUGAAUAUAUUUUUUAUGUAUGAAGGACAUGGUUUUCGUAUGAUUUUCUAUUUUGUAUCGAAUUAUUAGUUUAGGUUGGGAAUACUUGGUUUGUAUGGAAUUUGACAUUAAAAAUUAUUCCUUUCUGGAUGCUUGUAAAUGAAAUGGAUGCAGAUUGUGUAAUGGUUGAUAAUAUAUGUAUUGUUUUGUUUAUAUAUAUGGUAAAAGUUUCACGGAAUACAUACAGGUUGUGGACAAAUUAUUAAAAAAAAAAAACAUAAAAUGAUGUUUUUGGCGACUAAAC